rnacentral:rRNA from 1 species
GGGGAAUCUUAGACAAUGGGCGCAAGCCUGAUCUAGCCAUGCCGCGUGAGCGAAGAAGGCCUUCGGGUUGUAAAGCACUUUAAGCGGGGAGGAAGGCCUGAUGGCUAAUAUCCAUCGGGAUUGACGUUACCCGCAGAAUAAGCACCGGCAAACUUCGUGCCAGCAGCCGCGGUAAUACGAAGGGUGCGAGCGUUAAUCGGAAUUACUGGGCGUAAAGCGCGCGUAGGUGGUUAAGUAAGCGAUCUGUGAAAGCCCCGGGCUUAACCUGGGAACUGCAGGUCGAACUGCUUGGCUAGAGUAUGGUAGAGGGGUGUGGAAUUUCCUGUGUAGCGGUGAAAUGCGUAGAUAUAGGAAGGAACAUCAGUGGCGAAGGCGACACCCUGGACCGAUACUGACACUGAGGCGCGAAAGCGUGGGUAGCGAAC